CCUACGGGGGGCAGCAGGCGCGAAAACUUUACAAUGCGGGAAACCGUGAUAAGGGGACACCGAGUGCUAGCAUCAUAUGCUAGCUGUCCAGAUGUGUAAAAUACAUCUGUUAGCAAGGGCCGGGCAAGACCGGUGCCAGCCGCCGCGGUAACACCGGCGGCCCGAGUGGUGAUCGUGAUUAUUGGGUCUAAAGGGUCCGUAGCCGGUUUGGUCAGUCCUCCGGGAAAUCUGAUAGCUCAACUAUUAGGCUUUCGGGGGAUACUGCCAGGCUUGGAACCGGGAGAGGUAAGAGGUACUACAG
rnacentral:rRNA from 1 species